rnacentral:rRNA from 1 species
UUGUUAGUGGCAGACGGGUGAGUAAUGCAUAGGAAUCUACCUAGUAGUAUGGAAUAGCCAUUAGAUAUGAUGGGUAAUACUGUAUAAUCCCUGCGGGGGAAAGAUUUAUCGCUAUUAGAUGAGCCUAUGUUAGAUUAGCUAGUUGGUAAGGUAAUGGCUUACCAAGGCUAUGAUCUAUAGCUGGUCUGAGAGGACGAUCAGCCACACUGGAACUGAGAUACGGUCCAGACUCCAACGGGAGGCAGCAGUGGGGAAUAUUGGACAAUGGGCGAAUGCCUGAUCCAGCUAUGCCGCGUGAGUGAAGAAGCCCUUCGGGUUGUAAAGCUCUUUCAAUAG